rnacentral:lncRNA from 1 species
UUUAAAAUUAUGAAAAGUAAGGAAAUUCUUAUUUAAGCAAGGUUAUUAAUUGGACAUUACUGUAUUUUUGGUACCUAUUGUAUCUGAGAGUCUAGAGAGAGUAAUAGAAUCAUAACAUUACUAUUCUAAAAUAGUAUCUUCAUUGUUUAAACCCUAUUCACCUCCUUUUCCUAUUGCAUUUGACUUUUUCAUAGAUAAAUCUGAAGUUAUUAUUUUUUUAAAUAAUCCUUUCUACAUGGGAGCAGUGUAUAUUAGGAAAUUUUCAAUUACUUUAGACCUGCACCUUUGCAUUGUAGGUCAGAACCUACAAAAAUUCCAUCUUGGAAAACAUUUUAGAUUUACCUUGUAUUCACACACCCCUGCAAAGUGGGUCUUUGCAAACAGGAAAGGUAAAAGAUUUAUUUUUACUGCAAAAUCAUGCCUUUAUAUAGGAUUAGUCUGUGGAUUAUUUCAGGCAACAAUGAGUAGAUUUUUGAAGGAAACUUCAUAACACAGUUUUGGAGCCCUAUCUUCUGUAACACAUUUCCAACCUUUGGAAAUAGCCUUGAUUUUCCAACUUUUAACCUGAUACCAACAAAAAUGGACAAAGAUAAUAUCACAUGGAAUUAUUCUGAAGAGCCAGCUGCUGAGAAGUUCCAGGAGCUGUAAAUUAGACAAAAGCAUCCAUUUAUUUGGGAGUAAGUUACAAUAUGGCUAUAGCUUAAAAAUAUAUAAUGAUUCAGGGAGGUAUUUUAAUGAACUUAUGUGGCAUUUAUUGUGAACUAUUGUAUGUUUAGUAUUACACUGUUUUUCUUCUCAUGAUGUAAAGGUUCAAGCUUCUGCUAUCCUUUGAUGUGUGUUUGUUUUUAUGAAGACAGUGCAAUAAUUUUGUUUCCACUGCAUUUUAAGAUUUUUUAAAAAAUAACAUUUGUAAAUGAAUAUUGAAAUUAAAAAUAGUAACAUCAGUUUUUUCUUCAAUAUACAGACUUCCUUUAAUAAGUGUUGCGCUGGUUCAAGGUUGGGCAUUGGGUGGAGGAGCAGAAUUUACUACAGCAUGUGAUUUCAGGUUAAUGACUCCAGAGAGUAAGAUCAGAUUCGUCCACAAAGAGAUGGGCAUAAUACCAAGCUGGGGUGGCACCACCCGGCUAGUUGAAAUAAUCGGAAGUAGACAAGCUCUCAAAGUGUUGAGUGGGGCCCUUAAACUGGAUUCAAAAAAUGCUCUAAACAUAGGAAUGGUUGAAGAGGUCUUGCAGUCUUCAGAUGAAACUAAAUCUCUAGAAGAGGCACAAGAAUGGCUAAAGCAAUUCAUCCAAGGGCCACCGGAAGUAAUUAGAGCUUUGAAAAAAUCUGUUUGUUCAGGCAGAGAGCUAUAUUUGGAGGAAGCAUUACAGAACGAAAGAGAUCUUUUAGGAACAGUUUGGGGUGGGCCUGCAAAUUUAGAGGCUAUUGCUAAGAAAGGAAAAUUUAAUAAAUAAUUGGUUUUUCGUGUGGAUGUACUCCAAGUAAAGCUCCAGUGACUAAUAUGUAUAAAUGUUAAAUGAUAUUAAAUAUGAACAUCAGAAUU